AGCAUGGGCGCAGCCUGAUGCAGCCAUGCCGCGUGUGUGAUGAAGGCCCUAGGGUUGUAAAGCACUUUCACUAGGGAGGAAAAGCUCAGUGUUAAUACCUUGACCCCUGACAUUUCCUUGCCAACAACCGCGGUAUUACUCAGGGGGCUAGCGUUGUUCGGAAUUACUGGUGGUAGCGUUAAUCUAAAUUACUGGGCGUAUUACGCGUGUAAGCGGUUUGCUCAACCCGGUGUGAGCGCCCCGGGCUCAACCUCGGAACUGCAUUUAAAACUGGUGGAAUUCAGUAUGUAAAAGGGAAGUUGAAUUAUCUGUGUAGGAAUGAAAUGCGUAAAUGCGGGAAGGAACAUCAAUGGUGAAGGUGACCUCCUGGACUGAGACUGACACUGAGGUGCAAAAACCUGGGGAGCCAACACGAUUAAAUACCCUGGUAAUCCACCCCGUAAACGAUGUCUACUAGCCGUUGGGAAACUUGAUCUCUUUCUGCCGCAGUUAACGCGAUAAGUAAACCGCCUGGGGAGUACUUCCGCGAGGUUAAAACUCAAAGGAAUUGACGG
rnacentral:rRNA from 1 species